GUGCUCACUUUGGCAGCACAUAUACUAAAAUUGGACUAAUACAGAGAAGAUUAGCAAGGCCUCUGUGCAAGGAUGGCAUGAAAAUUCAUGAACCUUUACAUAUCUUA
ensembl:snRNA U6 U6 spliceosomal RNA